AUGAACGCUGACAGACUGCUUAACACCUGCCAGUCGAUGGGGAAGUGGUGCUUGCACCCUGGCAACCAUGGCGGACGGGUGAGUAACGCGUAAGGGACUUACCUGCAGGACUGGGAUAACAGGGGGAAACUCCUGACAAGACCGGAUAAUGUCAUGGAGCUGCAUGGCUUUAUGAUGAAAGGAGACGCCUGCGGAGAGCCUUGCGUCCUAUUAGCUAGUUGGUGAGGUAAUGGCUCACCAAGGCGAAGAUAGGUAGCCGGCCUGAGAGGGUGGACGGCCACAAGGGGACUGAGAUACGGCCCUUACUCCUACGGGAGGCAGCAGUGGGGAAUAUUGGACAAUGGGGGCAACCCUGAUCCAGCAAUUCUGUGUGCACGAAGAAGGUUUUCGGAUUGUAAAGUGCUUUCAGCAGGGAAGAAGUAAGUGACGGUACCUGCAGAAGAAGCGACGGCUAAAUACGUG
rnacentral:rRNA from 1 species